UAUGCCAAAAAUUUAAUGGAUUAACCUCACGUUCAUAUCUUGAAGAAGCAAAUAAAUUUUGCGAAAGCUU
rnacentral:lncRNA from 1 species